rnacentral:rRNA from 1 species
UACGGAGGGGGCAGGCGUUGUCCGGAUUUAUUGGGCGUAAAGAGCGUGUAGGCGGUUAGGUAGGUCCGUUGUGAAAACUCGAGGCUCAACCUCGAGACGCCGAUGGAAACCAUCUGACUAGAGUCCGGAAGAGGAGAGUGGAAUUCCUGGUGUAGCGGUGAAAUGCGCAGAUAUCAGGAAGAACACCCGUGGCUAAGGCGGCUCUCUAGUACGUGACUGACGCUGAGACGCGAAAGCGUGGGGAGCGAACAGG